CUUGCGCUGUUGCCAGUUGAAUUGCUAUCACAUGAGAGUUUUUUAUCAGGUCAUAGACAGGAAUAAGAAAGGACGAUUGAAAACAUUCUAAUUCGUCGCCUAGUUCUAGGUCUCUCCGGUUACGUCUUACAAAGAAGGUAGUGCUGUAAGGUGAACGGUGAAAUGGACUCUUUGAAACAAAUAAGUGACAAAGUGGUGAUGCAGUUAAAAGACGAGCAUUCAAAGUUAACCAAAGUACUUUUUUUUCUAGCCGUCAACAAAUUUAAAACAAAUUGCAUCAAGGUUCUGAAAUGUAAUUUGGAUAACGAUAAGGAAUUUCGUAAAUUGGUCGACUUCCUAGUAGAAGAUAUCAACAAGCUAGAACAAAACCCCGAAUACCAAAUGGCUGAAAUUUGGGUAGAUUUCGAACAACUUAAUCCAAGUCAACGUGUUGAGAAAGGCCAACGGUUUGAUUUCCAACUCCUUCUUGCCAAAAAAGAACGAUUUGAGCUAAUAUUUACAUGCAUGGUCGUCAGUAUCUUGAUGAGGCUGAGUAUACUAACCCCUGAGAUGUUGUCAAAAAUACUACCGACUUUACUACAAGGAAACCUAACCGUUAAUAUUCCGUUCAAAGACAUCAUAAAUAUAGCACAAGAACUGUCCGGAGAACGGUACGAAGUCACCGCAGGCUUUGGCUAUUUUGUUUAUGAUGCUUGGCAAUACAAGAAACGAUGGCACAGUUCUGAAAUAUCUGGAAUCCGUUGUAUCAAGAAAACUGUAGACAGUUUCGCCGAGCUGGGAGCUGCAGUAACGGGGGUCUAUGGAGGAGAAUUCUUCGGCAGCGCCAUUGCAAAUACUAGAAUCGUCCACUUAGCCGGAGGAGUCAGCGGGGGCUUGGCUUCUGCUGUCUUGGGUGGAACGCUUUGCGAUUGGUUCACUCAGCAGUUUUUCAAUCUACCGAAAGACGAAUCACUAGAAAAUGCAUUUCGCUUUCUUGAGUUACCAUGGACGGCAUCAAACAACGACAUCAAUUUAAGCUACAUCCGCUUGGCCCACCAAUAUUAUGGGGAUGUUGAAAACUGGAGAAAACUCACUUCUUUCCAACGUAUUAUAAUUUCAUGAAAGUUUCCCUAACUAAGCAGUCAUUCCCUCCUAUCUCCACCCACCACUAUAGUGCUCGUUCUUUAGUUCUAGAUUGGUUGUAAACCAGGUACAACAUGCUGAAUGAGGGACAUCAAUAAACGUUGGAAACGAAACAUUUUGUCGUCUGCUUUGUCAUUCGGCCCCUUUUCCUGAAACAGAAACAAUUGAGCAGGGUAACAAAGACAGAAAACUUAUAUAAAAAGGAAACAGAGGGGGGGAAGGUGUUAUGAAUGGCUGUUAGGCAGUAUACCAGCGGCUCUAACGUCAGAGUAAAUAGUCGAAGUAGUCGAAAGGAACUGCUUUGUUAAGUUAAGACGACGCAACUGGUUUUAGAAGCCUUUUCAACAAGUGGGCCGCUUGCUAAAAAAAAAAUUUAAUCUUUGUAUACAGUCAUUUGAUCGAUUCAAGGGCUCAGCCAUAGUCAGACCAGUGAAAAUCAUCAAUGGAAUCGGAUCAGUUGAUGCACAUCCUUCUUUGGAUGAAGAGGCCCAAGCCGCCCAACCUCAACUCAAGUGUGUAACCUUUUCGUACGCUGUAAAACGUAGGCGUGUAAUUCUUACAACGAGAAAAAUGCAGACGAGAAAACACACAGCCAUUAAAUGGUGUGCUUUCAUUUUCAUUUUUAUCAUUGGGGUUAUUGGGACAGUUAUCUUGGCUGUUUCUCUACGAAUCGUUUUUGACAAUGAUUAUAGCUAUUUACUAUUCCACGGAAGCGGGAGCUACCUAGCCGGAUACGUGUUGGUGGCGACAGGAGUGUCAUUGAUGAUCGUCAGUUCCAUUGGAUGUACUGGGGUUGCUAAAGGAAAUCCUCCUCUUCUCGGUUUGAGCGUCUUUUGUUUCGUUCUCCUUGUGACAGUUCAGGUAACAUUUGGUCGAGUUGCUUACAACGAACUGGCUCCGUUUCACGAAAAAGUUCACCUCGGUAUUUUCUGGGCCAUUCAGCGUCACUAUGGCAAUGACAUUGCGAACACCACUG